rnacentral:lncRNA from 1 species
CUUUGGUGGACAGUUGGCAAUCAUAUCACAUCUCCUACAUCGCUUUAAGUUUGUUUGUUUCUUUUUUUUUUUUUUUUUUUUUUUUGGGGGGGGGGGGGUAUUUGGAUUACUUAACUACAAUCUUCAGGUAGAAUUUUGAUUCUCCCCAUCGGUUAUUUUAUUUUCAUCGUCUUUCUGCACGAGCUAUAAUUUUUGAGCAGGCAUACUCUUCAAAAUAUUGCCAAUAUCUAAUACAGAUUUAUGGCGUGUUUUUUUUUUCUUUUCUUUCUUUCUUCACAUACGAGAGUCCGAUAGGUUUUUA